rnacentral:rRNA from 1 species
GAUGAACGCUAGCUACAGGCUUAACACAUGCAAGUCGAGGGGCAGCAUGAACUUAGCUUGCUAAGUUUGAUGGCGACCGGCGCACGGGUGAGUAACACGUAUCCAACCUGCCGAUGACUCGGGGAUAGCCUUUCGAAAGAAAGAUUAAUACCCGAUGGCAUAGUUCUUCCGCAUGGUAGAACUAUUAAAGAAUUUCGGUCAUCGAUGGGGAUGCGUUCCAUUAGGUUGUUGGCGGGGUAACGGCCCACCAAGCCUUCGAUGGAUAGGGGUUCUGAGAGGAAGGUCCCCCACAUUGGAACUGAGACACGGUCCAAACUCCUACGGGAGGCAGCAGUGAGGAAUAUUGGUCAAUGGACGAGAGUCUGACCCAGCCAAGUAGCGUGAAGGAUGACUGCCCUAUGGGUGGUAAACUUCUUUUAUACGGGAAUAAAGUGAGGCACGUGUGCCUUUUUGUAUGUACCGUAUGAAUAAGGAUCGGCUAACUCCGUG